rnacentral:rRNA from 1 species
UACGUAGGUGGCGAGCGUUGUCCGGAAUGACUGGGCGUAAAGGGAGCGUAGGUUGCAAUUUAAGUUAAAUGUGAAAGCCCGUGGCUCAACUACGGAACUGCAUUUAAUACUGGAUAGCUAGAGUACAGGAGGGGUGAGCGGAAUUCCUAGUGUAGCGGUGGAAUGCGUAGAUAUUAGGAAGAACACCGGAGGCGAAGGCGGCUCACUGGACUGCAACUGACACUGAGGCUCGAAAGCGUGGGGAGCAAAC